rnacentral:rRNA from 1 species
CCGCUUCGGUGGGGGAUUAGUGGCGAACGGGUGAGUAACACGUGGGCAAUCUGCCCUGCACUCUGGGACAAGCCCUGGAAACGGGGUCUAAUACCGGAUAAUACCUUCCCUCGCAUGGGGGUGGGUUCAAAGCUCCGGCGGUGCAGGAUGAGCCCGCGGCCUAUCAGCUUGUUGGUGAGGUAGUGGCUCACCAAGGCGACGACGGGUAGCCGGCCUGAGAGGGCGACCGGCCACACUGGGACUGAGACACGGCCCAGACUCCUACGGGAAGCAGCAGUGGGGAAUAUUGCACAAUGGGCGAAAGCCUGAUGCAGCGACGCCGCGUGAGGGAUGACGGCCUUCGGGUUGUAAACCUCUUUCAGCAGGGAAGAAGCGCAAGUGACGGUACCUGCAGAAGAAGCGCCGGCUAACUACGUGCCAGCAGCCGCGGUAAUACGUAGGGCGCAAGCGUUGUCCGGAAUUAUUGGGCGUAAAGAGCUCGUAGGCGGUCUGUCGCGUCGGAUGUGAAAGCCCGGGGCUUAACCCCGGGUCUGCAUUCGAUACGGGCAGACUAGAGUGUGGUAGGGGAGAUCGGAAUUCCUGGUGUAGCGGUGAAAUG